rnacentral:rRNA from 1 species
AUGAACGCUAGCUACAGGCUUAACACAUGCAAGUCGAGGGGCAGCAUGGUCUUAGCUUGCUAAGGCCGAUGGCGACCGGCGCACGGGUGAGUAACACGUAUCCAACCUGCCGUCUACUCUUGGACAGCCUUCUGAAAGGAAGAUUAAUACAAGAUGGCAUCAUGAGUCCGCAUGUUCACAUGAUUAAAGGUAUUCCGGUAGACGAUGGGGAUGCGUUCCAUUAGAUAGUAGGCGGGGUAACGGCCCACCUAGUCUUCGAUGGAUAGGGGUUCUGAGAGGAAGGUCCCCCACAUUGGAACUGAGACACGGUCCAAACUCCUACGGGAGGCAGCAGUGAGGAAUAUUGGUCAAUGGGCGCAGGCCUGAACCAGCCAAGUAGCGUGAAGGAUGACUGCCCUAUGGGUUGUAAACUUCUUUUAUAAAGGAAUAAAGUCGGGUAUGUAUACCCGUUUGCAUGUACUUUAUGAAUAAGGAUCGGCUAACUCCGUGCCAGCAGCCGCGGUAAUACGGAGGAUCCGAGCGUUAUCCGGAUUUAUUGGGUUUAAAGGGAGCGUAGAUGGAUGUUUAAGUCAGUUGUGAAAGUUUGCGGCUCAACCGUAAAAUUGCAGUUGAUACUGGAUAUCUUGAGUGCAGUUGAGGCAGGCGGAAUUCGUGGUGUAGCGGUGAAAUGCUUAGAUAUCACGAAGAACUCCGAUUGCGAAGGCAGCCUGCUAAGCUGCAACUGACAUUGAGGCUCGAAAGUGUGGGUAUCAAACAGGAUUAGAUACCCUGGUAGUCCACGCCCUAAACGAUGGAUGCUAGUUGUUGGAGGGCUUAGUCUCUCCAGUAAUGCAGCUAACGCAUUAAGCAUCCCGCCUGGGGAGUACGGUCGCAAGAUUAAAACUCAAAGAAAUUGACGGGGACCCGCACAAGCGGUGGAGUAUGUGGCUUAAUUCGAUGCAACGCGAAGAACCUUACCUGGUCUUGACAUCCACGGAAGUUUUCAGAGAUGAGAAUGUGCCUUCGGGAACCGUGAGACAGGUGCUGCAUGGCUGUCGUCAGCUCGUGUCGUGAGAUGUUGGGUUAAGUCCCGCAACGAGCGCAACCCUUGUUGUCAGUUACUAACAGGUUCCGCUGAGGACUCUGACAAGACUGCCAUCGUAAGAUGUGAGGAAGGUGGGGAUGACGUCAAAUCAGCACGGCCCUUACGUCCGGGGCUACACACGUGUUACAAUGGGGGGUACAGAGGGCCGCUACCACGCGAGUGGAUGCCAAUCCCAAAAACCUCUCUCAGUUCGGACUGGAGUCUGCAACCCGACUCCACGAAGCUGGAUUCGCUAGUAAUCGCGCAUCAGCCACGGCGCGGUGAAUACGUUCCCGGGCCUUGUACACACCGCCCGUCAAGCCAUGGGAGCCGGGGGUACCUGAAGUGCGUAACCGCGAGGAGCGCCCUAGGGUAAAACUGGUGACUGGGGCU